CCUACGGGAGGCAGCAGUGAGGAAUAUUGGUCAAUGGACGAGAGUCUGAACCAGCCAAGUAGCGUGAAGGAUGACUGCCCUAUGGGUUGUAAACUUCUUUUAUAAAGGAAUAAAACGAGGCACGUGUGCCUUUUUGCAUGUACUUUAUGAAUAAGGAUCGGCUAACUCCGUGCCAGCAGCCGCGGUAAUACGGAGGAUCCGAGCGUUAUCCGGAUUUAUUGGGUUUAAAGGGAGCGUAGAUGGGUUGUUAAGUCAGUUGUGAAAGUUUGCGGCUCAACCGUAAAAUUGCAAUUGAUACUGGCAGUCUUGAGUACAGUUGAGGUAGGCGGAAUUCGUGGUGUAGCGGUGGAAUGCUUAGAUAUCACGAAGAACCCCGAUUGCGAAGGCAGCUUACUAAACUGUGACUGACAUUGAUGCUCGAAAGUGUGGGUAUCAAACAGGAUUAGAUACCCGAGUAGUC
rnacentral:rRNA from 1 species